AAUUUGUUUUUUGUUUUGCUCUACAAAGAGAAAAAAUAAAUUAGUGAAUAAAUUGGCUCCCAAUAUCACCCAAAAAGAUAUGCAAUUAAUUGGCCGCACUUAAAGGUGCGUAGCCCUUGUUUGACUAAACCUAAGCCUUUCACAAUUUUACAGUUCAACAUUUUCACCCAUUUUCUCCUCUUCCCUCGCUAGAUCCUCCCCAAAUUCAAAAGAAGCACCAUCCCCUGACGAUUUCUCCUGCCAUUUCAUAGCCUUGCAGCCUCGAUUAUCUUUCAGGAUUGGAAGAAGCUCGACUUGUGGGGAAUAGUUGUCGGGAUUCUUGAGGAGCGGGACUAGGAGCUAGGCAAGCAUUUGCGUUUGGAGCAGAAGCAACCCUGCUUCAAUGAUGGUAAGAAAAAAGCUUUUGAAAACCGUAGAGACCACUGUUAGUGCUAAAUUGGAAAAUGAUUCAAGUGGUUAGGAAACUCUGUUACAGACUCGAGGUCAUCACCAACUACUCCCGAAAAUGAAACAUUUCGAAGUCCAGAUGAUACCCAUCGUGACUCGCCAAGGGGCACCGAACAAUCUCAGCUCAAUGACUCUCAAAAUAUGGAGUCUUAUAACAUUAUCGAUGGUGAAGGAAGAACAAGAGCGAAGGGAGGGGUUGCACGGGCAAAGGAUGUUCGGAGUUUGUCAAAUGGUGAAAAAUCAUUGUUUGUGUUAAUGAACUUGGCCACCCAAUUGAGAAGCCAGAUGGCAUAUCAAGUAUUUGACUUAGAACAGUUGCUCGUCGCGGAAAUCUACGCCCACUUAAAUAUGUCAAUUGGAAGAAAGUGUCUCGUCUCAAGAAAAAUUAUCAAGAACUUAACAAUGGUAAGUUAUCAA